CCGUGGGGUUCGGCGCGGCUACGUGCAGAAUCCGUCUAGCUAAAAUGUAAUUUCAGAUUGGACAAGUACUGGGAUUCCCAUCGAAAUGUCAUCAUGUGGCUGGACCAUCGAGCAGUCAGUCAAGUUAACAGGAUCAAUGAGACCAAGCACAGUGUCCUCCAGUACGUCGGGGGGGUGAUGUCUGUGGAAAUGCAGGCCCCGAAACUUCUGUGGCUGAAAGAGAACUUGAGAGAGACUUGCUGGGAUAAGGCGGGACAUUUCUUUGAUCUCCCAGACUUCUUAUCGUGGAAGGCAACAGGUGUCACAGCACGGUCUCUCUGCUCCCUGGUGUGUAAGUGGACAUAUUCAGCAGAGAAAGGCUGGGACGACAGUUUCUGGAAAAUGAUUGGUUUGGAAGACUUUGUUGCAGAUAAUUACAGCAAAAUAGGAAACCAAGUGCUACCUCCUGGAGCUUCUCUUGGAAAUGGGCUCACACCAGAGGCAGCAAGAGACCUUGGCCUUCUCCCUGGGAUUGCGGUCGCAGCUUCACUCAUUGAUGCCCAUGCAGGAGGACUAGGAGUGAUUGGGGCAGAUGUGAGAGGGCACGGCCUCGUCUGUGAGGGGCAGCCAGUGACGUCACGGCUGGCUGUCAUCUGUGGAACGUCUUCUUGUCACAUGGGGAUCAGCAAAGACCCGAUUUUUGUACCAGGCGUCUGGGGGCCUUAUUUCUCAGCCAUGGUACCUGGGUUCUGGCUGAAUGAAGGUGGUCAGAGCGUUACUGGAAAAUUGAUAGACCACAUGGUACAAGGCCAUGCUGCUUUUCCAGAACUACAAGUAAAGGCCACAGCCAGGUCACCGGAUUGAAACUGUCUCAGGACCUCGAUGAUCUUGCCAUUCUCUACCUGGCCACAGUUCAAGCCAUUGCU
rnacentral:sRNA from 1 species